AAAUAAGGGGUGCUUCACGAUUGUGUUGCUGAGAUUAUACCCAUAGAACCUGACGCAGGUAAUGCUGCCGCAGGGAUUG
rnacentral:ncRNA from 1 species